rnacentral:rRNA from 1 species
AUUGAACGCUGGCGGCAGGCCUAACACAUGCAAGUCGAGCGGAUGAAGGGAGCUUGCUCCUGGAUUCAGCGGCGGACGGGUGAGUAAUGCCUAGGAAUCUGCCUGGUAGUGGGGGAUAACGUCCGGAAACGGGCGCUAAUACCGCAUACGUCCUGAGGGAGAAAGUGGGGGAUCUUCGGACCUCACGCUAUCAGAUGAGCCUAGGUCGGAUUAGCUAGUUGGUGGGGUAAAGGCCUACCAAGGCGACGAUCCGUAACUGGUCUGAGAGGAUGAUCAGUCACACUGGAACUGAGACACGGUCCAGACUCCUACGGGAGGCAGCACUGGGGAAUAUUGGACAAUGGGCGAAAGCCUGAUCCAGCCAUGCCGCGUGUGUGAAGAAGGUCUUCGGAUUGUAAAGCACUUUAAGUUGGGAGGAAGGGCAGUAAGUUAAUACCUUGCUGUUUUGACGUUACCAACAGAAUAAGCACCGGCUAACUUCGUG